AUACUAGGACCCGAUUUUCAUCUUCUUCUUCCUCCUUGAAAGCUCUAAAUUGAAGAAAAUUUUAUCUUCUUGAAUCCAAAAUUUAUUCCUCUUCUUGAAGCUCGAAGACAAUAUUACAAUCUUCUUCUAUUUCUUCCUUCUCUUUUUUGACAAAGGGUUAAAUUUCUAGGGCUCAAUUUUAAGGUUUGGGAAAAUGCAUAAUCUGAGAAAAUUUUGCUAUUGUGGUGAAGAAGAUGUGGUGAUACAGUCAUGAAAUGUUGAUAAUCCGGGUCAUCGAUUUUACGGAUGUCCAUUUUAUGAGAGGGACAAUCGAUCGGCAUAUAAUUUCUUUAUGUGGUUUGACCCCCCAACUCCAGAGCACUUGAAAAUGGUGAUUUUGGGGCUGCUGAAGAAAAAGAGGGCAUUUGAUGCAUUGUUGAAGGAAAAUAGAAACCAAAGAAAUUGGAGGAAAUUGUGUGCUGAUUUUAAUUGCAAUUGUGUUGAAGUUGAUUGUGUUAGGUAGUUCUAAAGAUUGUUAUAUAAUGCAAGAAAAUGAAUGAAGUUUUUUGGUAGAUUUUGUAUCCCUUUUGUUAGAAAUGAAUGAAAUCUUUUGGCAAUUGUUAA